AGAUUGAAAAAGGCAGCGAAAACAAAACACACUACAGGACGUAGAAAACUUCCCCCCCAAGAAGUCACAGCAUGCCACAUCUGCAUCCAGCUCUGCAGGAUCAGGUGCUGUGUAGGCUAUUAGCUAAAAUAAGGUGCAUUCUUGUACACACAUCCCUAGAGGUUCCCUUACAUUACUUAAUGACCACAAUCUGUUGUCGUUCUAGACGAUACUGAAAACAAAAUGCACGGCGAACUGGGAGCUGUGAACUGGGUAUGUAGUCUACUGUGUGUAAUGCUGAAGGCUUGAUGCAUGGUGAACUGGGAGCAGUGAACUGGGAUGCAGAUGUUCUUCUAAGGGACACCCUAGAGGCAGCAAGGUGGUGUGAACUCCAAACAUUUAAAGGCACUGUUUCCCUCCCUAGUGUAAUUGAGAUGGAGGGGGAAGACGCAUUACAACCCUUAAAGAACUACGGUUGUAUGAUGGACUGGAUCAAUAUUCUCCUCAAGGAACCAUUCAUGUUCCAGUUACAGAGAGAUUAUGAGAUGUUCUAUUUGGAGGCAGUUGACAACAAGACAAUUACUGUCUUUAUCUCUUUUGAGGAGCAGGAGUGAAGCCAUUUUUGAGGAGUGGUCAAACCUUGUUUUUGUAUGCUGUGCUAAUUGUUUCAAUUGUUAAUUAUGUUAUGUUGUUUAGUAAAGAUGACAUAGAAGUCACCCGAGUCUCUGAUCUCUUUACCGGAGCUGGUA
rnacentral:lncRNA from 1 species